AAAAUUUUAGGUAAUUAUUUACAAUUGGUACUUUUCCGAAUUUUGAAAUUUUUUCAUAACUUUCUUGGUAAACUUUGUUGUGACUCCGACAACGAUAAUCAAUCGGGGGAGCCCAAAAAAUAUGUAACCUACUAAUUUUUUUGCCAUUUUUUCGAAAUAAUUUGGUAAUUAUUUACAUUAGCAAUUCUUCACCGAUUUUGAUGACCUUCAAAUAUGUUGUCAAGGCCAUCAUUCUGAACAACUUUUCCCUAUACAUGUUACCGCCGCUCGGUAUUAGUUUUUGAGUUAUACACAAAAAAUUAUUAAAACAAAAGUUUAAUAAAUACCAUAUAUAUGUUAUGGUCAAAUCCCGUGGCGCGGACGUUCCUAAAAUUGACUGGUCAUCUCGUUUAGCGUGGAAAGUCGCAAACCUCCCCUGCCCAUGCGUUCUUUGCUGUACCAGACUGGGGUAGAAGUCGCUACAAUCGUUUGUUUCCACAUUGUUCUGCCGGUAGGACUGCUUUAAACAGAAGCGCCUAUUUUUUUCGAAGAAGAGCGAGGGAUAGUACGCGACGAACAAAAUCAUAACAUUGUCUAUGACCGAAGACCCCCCUUGCCCCCCCUCUCAUAUGUGUGUCGUCAUACGAAUACGUUGAACAUACGAAAAUUAUUUCGAAAAAAUAGCAAAAAAAAUUAGUAGGUUAUAUAUUUUUCGGGCUCCCCCGAUUGAUUAUCGUUGUCGGAGUCACAACAAAGCUGUUUACCAAGAAAGUUAUAAAAAAAUAUCAAAAUUCGGAAAAGUACCAAUUGUAAAUAAUUACCAAAUUUUAAUUGUAUUUUUUUUAUAGAUUUUACAUAUUUUACAUAUUUCCUAAGAUGUUUCUUAAUUUAAAAAAAAGUUAUUCUACCUCACUUGAAUUUACUGGCUCAGCUAAGAAAAUCUGACAGGCAUAUAAAAGCAAACAGAAAUAAGAUUACUGAUAGGUAUAAUAUAAACUCUUACAUCUAUUUUAAAUUGAUGUAUAUAAAGUAAUGAUAUGUAACGUCCUUGUUGGUCAUGAAAUAUAUUAAAGUCAUCUACUUUUAUUAUUUCUUUUAAUAUUGCGUAAUAUCUAUUUUCGCAUUCACAAUUGUAAUUCUCACAGGUUUUUGCUAAAAACCCUUGUAAAAGAAAAUAUAGAUCCAAAAUUUUUUUCAUUAUUUAUAUAAUGUGAAACAAAAGAUGAUAUUGUUUGCAAAUCUUUUGAAUAGCUUUCAGCAACAUACAAUAAUCCAUCUUUCAGAAGCCUGUAAAAGAUUUGAAUUUUCUCGUAUAUCAUAUCAGAAACUUGCAAACUGUGGACUAUAAGUUCUUGGCCAUUAAUAUGAUUUACGUAAGAACCUACGACUAAACAAUAAUUAUUAAUUUUAUCACAUAUUUUUAAGUACUUUCUCUUCUUACGGAGGCAGAAAUCUUUAAUUGUGCUUUCUGGUAAAGAUUGUAAUUUCUUUGAUGCGCACAGAUAUAUCAAAUGAAGUUUAGAAACCUGAGUGUCAACAUAUUUUGUACCGGUGUAACGAACCACGUUACUAGUGGCUGACAACGAUCGCGCGGCCCGGCCGACCAUCCGCCGGGCCGAAUAUCGGGCAAGCGUGCCCAUGAUAAGAACUCCACACCAUCGUGAUGACGCGCAUCUCGGGGGGGGGGGGGGCAUACAGCCUCUCUCCUCUCGAGCUAGCAUCCCGAUCUGCGUCACCGAGAGGAGGCCAAGAACCGCCGAAGAUUUCCGAACGGCUGCCGGGGACCAUAUAUAAGGUUGCCCGGCAGCCGUAGAGUUCACUUCUCGUUAUCCUGUCCGACUCGUUCCAAUGAGAAGCCUGAAACCUUACGAGCCAGAAAAACGGUGGAGUGUUCUCCGUCAUCGCCAAGAGUUCUCGGCUUAGCUCGAUUCUUUUCCUUCCUCGCUAGCAAACCACGGGGGUAGAGCGUACUCUGUCUCCGCCGAGAGCUCUCGGCAGCUAGCUAAAAUCGUCACCGACGACAUCCUCACGGCCCGGUAACCGACACGGAGUGUUCUCCGUCUCCCCUCAAGCGUUCUCGGGGCCGACGCCGUUCCCUGAAGACUCACCACGCUUCACGGGAUUGACGAGGCAAUUCGGGGAAACAUCGGAAACGCGAGACAUACGUGUUCUCACCGCGCGCCCGCCGGUCACCAAACAUCCAAGACCGAGCGUAACGUCCCGCGCCGCACACCCGCCGACCAUCGAACUCGAGCGCGAGACGCGUACCGCCCCCCGCACCGCGCACCGCAGUCAUCUCACCGGGCCGAACAGCUGAUCGGCUAGCGAUCACGCGCCCCGUCACUGAUCAUUGUAAAUACCGCUGUACAUAACGCGCAACCAGAUUUUGUAAGAUUCGUCAUCCGCUGUACAUAUUCGCGAACUGUAUAUAAUAGAAAUUAAGUAAUAAAAUUGUACCGAUCAACAAUCGCCACGUUUUGCUAUCUCUGAACCCUUUUUCGCCCUAGCCCUUUUCCCGACGAGCUAAAAAGUCCGCAUGAAAAACGGUCGUUACACCAUGAAUCGUUACACCAUGAAUAUUCUGCAAAAUUUGACCAUUCAAAUCUUCAAGAGGGAAACAUGUAUAUGCCCAUAAUGGGUUAAUUCGCGUACACAUCUGCCAAAUGAAGAAGAAAAUGUAUGUUAAUUGAACAAAACUCAAUGCCAUAUAGCUGCUCAAAGUCUUGUACAAAUUGCUUAGAAAUUCUUUUGCUGUGUCAAUCAUUUCAUUAGAUAUACUUGAGGCAUUUAAAUAAGACAACGCUAUCACAAGUUUUAAGUAAUGUUUAAAAUAUUCUAUUCGCAAAAAUUGCUUUAGAAUAGGUAUUGAAUAAUAGAUAAACCAUGUUUUCAGUUCCGAAACUUUUCAAAAUGCCAUCUCUUCGAGACUUCUAAUCAUUCGAUGAACAAAUUGUGGAGGGUGUAAACUAAGCAAUAACUCAUCAACUGCUGGCAAAAGUGGCCUAAUAGAAAAUAGAUAUUCACUAUAUUUAGAAUCAAAGUGCAAAGUUAUAAGCUUUUUAAAAGUACCAGACAAAAUGUGCAUCAGAUCAAUACCCAUGCCUUUUACAAAAUUUGGCACAAUAAGUCUUAAAGCAGUUUGACUUUUCACACUAAAUGCAACUUCACCUGUUCUGAGAGCUUCUCUUGCAUGGCUAUUCAUACUUUCAAGAGUUCUUUCAUUAAAAUGCUCUGCAUAUCUAUAACAAAACUUAUGUGAUCCAUCAGAAAAAUAUACAGUUUCGCCAGUAAAUUCGCAUACUGGACAUCCAUAUUUUUUAUUAAAAGAUUUUAUUUUAAUAAAUGUGGAUUUAGCUGGUAGAUCGCAAGUACCUAACAAUAAUUUUUCUUUAAUAUUUACUGGUUUUCUUCUAUGAGGAAUCUGCACAUUAAAAUCAUCAGUAUAAAUUUUACGAAAAUCUUCAACAUAAGAAUAAAGAAAACUAUUUGGAUCUGGUUUAUCGAUCAAACCAUAGACCAGCUAAAACAACAUUCUCACGUAUGUGUCUUACUUUAUAUGGAAGUGGAUUUAUAAUAAGAUAAAGAGGCCAAAUACUGAAUGUCUUCGAUUUUAAUACAGGCACCCCAUCACUAUUCCACAGAAAAGAAAUAUUAGAAUUAGAAAGGAAGCCCCUAACUUCUUCUUGACAAAGUAAACCAUCAAUUUAUUAUCGUCUUCUAUAUUAUCAAUCGACAUUUUUUUUCUUGUAAAUAUUGUAAAUAUUCUCUAUAUUGUAGACUCUCAUAUUUACCUGCCGCUCCAAAAUUUGUUUUAAUUGUACUAUAAUGUUUAACUUUAUAAAAUAAGAUCUUCUGUUACUUUCUUGACACUCCGAGCGUACAUCAUAAUUUUGAUUUAAAACUGACAUACAAUUUGAGCAAUAAUAAAUUUUAGUUACAGGAGCAUUUGAAAAUAAAAGAUAUUGACGAAAACGAUAUAAACUUAAUUUCUUCAAUCCUUGAGCAAUACAAUGCAAAUGUAAUACAUACAAUAAGUCAGCAACACAUGAUCCUGUUAAAUUAUAAAAUCAUAUUUAAAAUCAGUGUUAGAAUCAAAGCCAUACUUUCAGUAACAGUUAUUGAUGCACCAUUGUAGAGAGGAUGAUUAUUAUCAUUUUCAUCAUUUCGAAUUUCAUCAUCGAAUAUAUUAUCCUGCAAAUCUUCAAGUGGAUCUUCAAGAGAGUUGUUAUCAACUUCACCUUCUUCAUCCUGGUCUGAACUGUCGGAAACAAUAUUCUGAUCGCUUGUUUUACUGUUAACAUCUUCGUGUUCACAUUCAUUUCUUUGAUUUCUUGAACUAUUUUCUUUAUACUCAUUUUGAGAUUCAUCACUUUCAGAGAAUCCAAUUUCUGAUAACAAAUAAAUGUGAUAAAAUACAAUUGAUUUCUAUAUAACGCAAGGGAUACUUCAUACACAUUAUACAAAAAUAAUUUUAUAUGUUGGGAUUAAUGUUUGAGAGGAAACGAACGAUACCUUUUCUUGUAAUUUUAAAUGUAUAAUUAUGAAACAAUAGAUUCGUGGUCCGCGACUUAUAAUGUUUUGUCCCCGACUCGCUUGCUCGCUCGCUCACUGCUGCGCACGCCACUCUUAUUGCCGCGCCACACACACAUACACACACAAACUCGCUAGCUUUCUCUAUCUUCUUACCGACCGAUUUAUCCGAUUUAUCAUCUCCACACUCGGCCAUUCUAUGGUGACAUUCGUCCCGAAUGUCUGAAGGUUGCUGGUCCCUUGAAAGAUCCUCUUCUUGUUCGUUUAAGUCUUCACUGGCGUGAUCGCUAUCGUAGUCUAGUCAAAGUUUGGUAGAAUCUGCUGCUGUAGAUGUCUCGGUUGGACCCUCAUGUUCUCCCACUUUACGUACUACGUAACGAUCAUUACAUAAAGCGCGGAUUAUUUGGUAAGGUCCUAGAUAUUGGUGAGAUAACUUGAGGCCUGGUCCUCGUUGUGUCCAACGAAUUGCUACUAGAUCAUCUUCUUUAUAUCUAGUUGCUUUCUUUCGUUUACGAUCGUAUUUUUUCUGACUUCCUCGUUGGAUUGUUUGAAGGUUCUCAUGCGCGAGUUCUCGAAGAUCAUUCCUUUCUUUGUCAAGUUCGUGACACAAUACUUCCGAAAGUAUUUCAGUAAGUUUAGGGUCAUCUUUUAGAUGUGGACACACGCCAAAUAGCAGUCUAAAAGGUGUAGUUUCCGUAGAUCGACUUGCUGUAGAAUUAAUGCAUUGUUGAGCUCGUGUCAAGUAUUUAAACCAUUCGUGUGGCUUAGGCGCAGCCAAUUUAGUUAGCAGAGGAAUAACUGUUCGAUUUAGCCUUUCAACUUGGUCGUUAGAUCUCGGGAUGCCCGUAGUUAUUAAAUGUCUCUGAAUGCUUUCUUGUUCACAAUAAUCCCCAAACUCAUGAGAAGUAAAGGCACUUCCGCGGUCUGAAAUAAUGCGACGGGGGUUAGCAAAAAUAGCCGCUUGUUUCUGCAAAUGUCCAAUUACUUCAUUGGCAUUAGUUGUCUUGGUGGGAUAUAGCCAGACAAACGUGAAUGCGUCGAUGACUGCUAGUGAAUGUCGAUAUUUCUUCUGGGUUGUCGGUAAAGAGCCCAUAUGAUCCACAUGGUAUGUAUCUAGUGGCAGGCUGCCUUUUUCUAUUAAGUUCAAGAAUCCUUGCUUAUCUUGCUUCUUUUCUGCCAGGAUGCAAGAUAUACAGUUUCGUAUAAUUUUUUAAAUUUUCUGUCGCAUGUUAGUCAUCCAGUAAUCUUGUUUUACUUGUAUUUGUUAGCAAGGCUUGUGUUUUGGCAAUUGAGAAGUGUCCUUUUUCACGAGCAAUCCUGAUAACUUGAGAUUGCAUCUUAAUUGGAAUUACUAAUCGUGGGUAUCAAUCUAUUUCUUUAAAUAAUAGAUUGCCUUGCGACGAAUAGUCUUUGGUUUUGCCUUGUUCAAUCAACUUAACAAUUCGUCGAAUCUCUAUGUCUUCGGCCUGCGCUUUUCGUAGUCUUGCUAAUGACCCCUUGUUGUAUUCUUUGACAUUUAGAGAGGCCGGAAGCGGAUGACGACUCAAGGCAUCCACAUGAGUCAUAUUUUUUCCAGAACGGUGCUCAAUUAAAUAAUUUUUCUAACAACAAAAUCUAGCGGGUACAGAGAGAUUCGCACAUAGAGAUUCUUCUUGUUGAUAGUAAGAGCGAAUGCCUGACAAUCAGUACGAUUGUAAAAGGAAUUCCGAGCAAGUAUAGCGAGCGAAACUUCGAGAGUGCCUUGACGACGGCCAAAACCUUCAGUUCAUAACUAGGAUAUUUUUCUUUGCGAGUAGUCUUGCCGCUUGCGUAGUACACCGGAUGCCACUUUUGGUCAAUUGGAUCUUGCUGCAACAAAAUGGCUCCAUAGCCCUAUUUCAAUGCGUCGGUCUGUAGUUCGGUUUUCGCUUUUACUCUAUACAAACUUAAAACGGGCUUUUCGCUUAACAGCGUUUUCAAUUGCACAAAUGUAUUUCUCUCACCUUCGCCAAAACGAAAUUCUACAUAAGAUCUUAACAGGUUAGUUAGUGGACGAGCGAUACACGCAUAAUUUUGAAUAAAUUUGUGAAAAUAACUGAUUCAUCCGACAUAUUUUUAAUUGAUUCAUGUUUGUGGGUUCAGAAAAGCAUCUAACUGCUUCUGUUUUACGAUCGGACGGUCGGAUAGUACCAUUCGCAACCACAUGUCCUAGAAAUUCGACUUCCGUUUGCAAAAAUACGCAUUUUUUCUAAUUUAUAACUCUGUCGCACUAGCAACUUGGAGUGCACACUCAAGCUUAUCUAUUCUGCUUUUUACAUCGUUUGCUGGGACGAUCGAGUCGUCUAUGUAUACGAGGACUACGCCUUUUUUAAUGAGAUCCUUGAAGACCGUAUUUAUAUAUUUUUGAAAUAUAUAAAUGGUUGAAUUACAUAAUCCAAACGGCGCACGCAAAAAUUCAUACAUUCCGUCGGGAAUUAUGAAUACUGUAUAUUUUCGGCUAGACUCUUCCACGGGCACAUGGAAAAAUCCAUUUUUUAGAUCUAAGGUACUAAAUAUCCCAGCACCUUGAAACGCAUCUAACUGGUCUUUAGAUCAACGGAACAGGGUAACGGUCUCUUACAAUUUUGCGAUUAAGAUUUCUAUAAUCAACGCAAACUCUAACUCCAUCUCUUUUCUUAACGAGGACUAUCGGACUCGCAUAUUCAGAGAUAGAUGCACUAUUUCAUCUUUGAUCCAUUUGUUCGUUAACCAACUUUCUUUCAGAUGCCGACAAACGCCUCGCCCUCUGAGAGACGGGUUUAUCGUCUUUAACUACAAUGGAUAUUUUGAGAUACACUUUCUUAGGAAUGUAAUCCGAUAUUAACUUCGUUAUCUAUUCUUUAUGCUCUCGAUUUGCUAAUGCAAAGAAAUCUGAUUAAGUAUCAUCCAGUGCUUGUAUAUUUAGUACCUCAGGGAUCUCUUCAAUUAUUGGGCUGAUACGCACUUUGCCACCUUUGAUAUUCAAUUCCACGUUUCUGAUGAAAUCGUUCCCGAGCAACAAAUCAUGUAAUGCUGAAUUAUCUGGAAUUAAAUAAACGUGGAUAGUAUAAGUGUAAUCAUCGACCUUUAACGUAGUCUUAACGGAACCUAACGUUUCAUUAUCCUUAGCACCAACGCCGCGGAAAACAAUAGAAUUCUGGUUCGGCGGAGGUAGAUCUAACUUGCGAUAUUUUGCUUUGUUCAAAAGACUUAUGUCACUGCCCAUAUCUAAAAGCGUACAUAGCUUCGUAUUACCUAAUAUAACCUCUUUGUUACAAUGUUAGUUUAUCGAUAACAAUUUCGCGCAGCUGCUUUUUACAAUUUCGUUUUUUGCGGUUUCGCUUUUUGUAGUCUUACUUUUCCUUGGGCAUUUUGAUGUCACGUGCCCUUGCUCGACACAUUUGAAGCAUUUCACGCCUUCUGACUUUGAUGGACACUCAGCUCCCACAUGAAAAUGCUCAUCAUAAUUAAACCAACGUGGCGGCUUUUGACGAUCUUUUCCUCGAUGACUUCCCUCGGAUCUCUGAUGACUCUCCGUCGUUUUUAGGUUGACAUUUCCCUUUCCUUGUUUAUUUGAACUGUUGCUUACUCUAUCGCUCAAUGAGAUUUUUUCGAAAACCUACAACAAGGUAUCUAUACUAUCGAACGACUGUAUGCGUGCCUGAUCACGCAAAUGUAUAUCAGGAAUGCCCUCUAUCACGUAUUCCAGAAUUUUGUUAUCUGGCACGAAGAUCUUAUUUCUUAGAAUAAUUUUGUCAUAAGCGUAUUCGCGAAUAGACUCGGUUUUAUUCCAUUUCCGCUUUUCGAAUUUUUCGCGCAACGCUAAUUUACUCUGAUGAAAUUGAAAUUGAAAUGAAUUUCGCCUUAGUUCUUUUAAAAGUUCAUCAAAGCUCAAUUUGAUAUGUUCCGGUUUAGAAUUGAACCAUUCGUUAGCUCUAUCUUUAAGUCGCAUACAUACUACAAUUUUUGUCGUAUUAUCAUCUAAACGAUAAGCUUCUUUCAAUAAUUUAACCUGUCUUUCCCACGUCUCGUAAUUAUUGGGUGUACCGUUAAAAGCUCUGAUUGUGAGUAAUUCCGCAAUACUUGCUACGUUGUUCCUCUAAGUGUAUGUGGUCUCUCGAAUACCGUCAUUUGUCCUCACAGGUUGGUUGUCAUGUGAUAAUCCUUGCGUUCCUGCAGUAGCGUCUCUCUCCGCCUGCUUACCCUCUCGAAGAUUCGACGAUCGCUUGUGACCGGUUUCUCCAAUAUGGCCUCGGGUCCUUUCUUGCGUAGCAACGCCGCUAUAUGUUUGAGUAGAAUCUAAAUUUCUUUUUUAGCCAGGCUAACUCCUUUUCGGUGAGCUCUUUCUUUUUUCGGUACAAUUCAGCCUCUUUCUGAAUUGCAAUUGGGUUCGCACAACUCGUCAACGCUCGCCGCGCCAGCAACAUCUCCUGUUGCCACGUCCUCGGUUUUCGACUGUUCGUCGGUGCUCUUUCCUCGCGACACCAUCUUUCACUCUGUAGUAUCGGGAUGCGCAGUUUGCAAACGAAGUAACAGUUCUGCCUUCGUUCCUGCUGUAGACAGCUUUCUCUUUUUUAGCAGAUCCCUUAGUUCCACGACGCCAAACUCACUUAAUGGCUUCAUCUCCAUCUUAACAUGACACUUGCUAUCGCGAGGUUAGGAGAUUCGUUUGCUUCUUUUCGAAAUGUUUUUUCACUCGCGUUGUUUGCCGUAAGCCCGAACGAGCCCCUAAUUGUUGGGAUUAAUGUUUGAGAGGAAACUAACGAUACGUCUUCUUGUAGUUUUAAUCAUAUAAUUAUCAAACAAUAGAUUCGUGGUCCGCGACUUACAAUGUUUCGUCCCCGACUGACUCGCUCGCUGCUGCGCACGCCGCACUUACCGCCGCGCGCCCCACACACACACACACACGCACGCACGCACGCACGCACGCACGCACGCACGCACGCACGCACGCACGCACGCACGCACGCACGCACGCACGCACGCACGCACGCACGCACGCACGCACGCACGCACGCACACAUACACUGUACCGCUUUCAAACUCCUCACAAUCAUCAAACAACACAUCUCAGAUAUUCGACAAUCCACUAAAAAUUUUAUCAGUCAGUGUUUAAUGCAAUUUACAUAGUAAUCCAAUGUAAUAUCACCAGAGCAAACCUCAUCAGUCUCUUAUCCAUCAUCAUCUUCACAUUCCAUUAUAAAUUAUAACCAAUCAUUUGGAUCCACUUUCAAUUUGAAUGAAUCAAAUAUAAUUUAUCAUAAAAAUGAUCAAAGAUUAUAUCAUGUUUUUUAAUAUAUGUUUAAAUUUUAUGAUAAGAUUAUGUUCUAAAAAUUAUAUUCUAAAUGUUAUGUUUUAAAUAUGAUAAAUUAAAUAAAAAAUAAAUUUAUAAUAAAAAAAUAUUUUGUCAACAUAACUACUUAUUUAUCUAGUCCGCUUUAUAAAAAUGAGAUGUUAUCAUUGUAUUGUUGCCAUUUUUCCGCGAUGCUGGUUGAUUGGUUCUUUUGCUGCACUUACUUCGUGUUGCGAAAGUAACUGGCACUGUGAUUGAAUUUUGACAACUGUCAAAUUUGUAUAGAUAGUUAUCUAUACAAUUAUCGUUGUAGUUUAUUUUUAAAAAGUAAAAAAUAAAAAGUCAAAUAGCGUGCGCAAAGCGCGCGUCUGUGGUGUAUAGUAUUCUAUAAAACCACUAUGUAAUUCUGUUAACACACAUAAUAAUUCUUUUUUUUUUCGGGAAGGAGAAAGGGGUAAAAAUGCAGUUGCGUUUACUAUUUUUAUUUACGUGUUUGUUGAAUAAAAUUAUUAUAUUUGUAAACUAUACUAAUUGUACACAAUUGUCGAGUACAAUUAUAUUGGCUCGGAAAAUUCUUAUUAUUUUAUUAUUAUUUCUUUCUUAUAAAUGUAGUAAUUUUCAUUUUAACAGCAUAUGAGUAAAAAUAUACGCAAGACUAUAUUUUUGGGUUUUUCUCCUUUCCAAAAAAUGAAAGAAUAAUUAAUGUGUUAACAAAAUUGAACAUAGAGAGCAUUUAGUAAUUUGCACGGCCAAUAGCACACGGAGCAUAUUGAGCAUAUGUAUCAUAAAAUUCUGGACUAGAAAGUAGCAUUUUAAGCACUUACAAAUGCUCUAAAAUCGUACUUCUUCAAAAAGCAAUUCCUAGAGCACUAGUUUUCUUAAUAAAUGCUCCAAAUGCUACGCUCACUAAUUGAGCAUUUAUAUGACAUAGAUUUUUGCCUCGGGUAUAUACAACGUUUCGAUCUUAAGAUUAGGUCCUUUUCAAGUACAAAUAUUCAAAGAAUUCAAAUUAUAAAAAAUUCAGGAAAGCGUACAAAUUCAUAAGUUCGUAUCAGCAAAAUCAUUGCGUUUCCUUCGUUAUAAGCAUUUGAUGUAAUGCAUGCGGCAGUUUUUUGAGCCGUAAUGUUCGUCGGACAUAAAUGAUAAUUAGAUGUUAAAUACGCGUCUAUACACUAACGCAGUCGAAUUUGAACAGCUAUAAAAACCUAUUAAUUUAAUUUUGUAUUUACCUUGUUUUUCUUAAAAAAAAUUCUUAAUCACGUAAUUUUUUAGGCUUUAAGGCUGCCUAACUCCUUAAGCGAUAUAAUUAGUAUAAUCUUCUUUUGCAAGUUGUAUAGAUUAAACAAUAAUGAGAAUUAUUAAUAUUAAAUUAUUUUGCUUGUUUGUAACUUCUUAAAAUUGUUUUAUUCAUAUUUUUCUCAAAAUGCGGUAUAAAGUGUAGAAUCUUCGUGAGUAAUUAUUCAGUUUAGUCAAGGUUAUCGGAGCUGAAUAAUUAUUUUUGGAUAUGUUGAAAUACAAGCAAAAAUAAGAGACAUGUAUUUUUUAAGUGCAUUCUCGCACGUCAAAGGGAGUUAAAGGGAAACACCCUCUUUAAAAAAUCACUUAAUUUCUUUUGAAACAAAUAUCAUCAAAA